rnacentral:rRNA from 1 species
UACGAAGGGGGCUAGCGUUGCUCGGAAUCACUGGGCGUAAAGGGUGCGUAGGCGGAUUGUUAAGUCAGGGGUGAAAUUCUGGAGCUCAACUCCAGAACUGCCUUUGAUACUGGCGAUCUUGAGUCCGGGAGAGGUGAGUGGAACUGCGAGUGUAGAGGUGAAAUUCGUAGAUAUUCGCAAGAACACCAGUGGCGAAGGCGGCUCACUGGCCCGGUACUGACGCUGAGGUGCGAAAGCGUGGGGAGCAAACAGG